rnacentral:misc_RNA from 2 species
AACGCACAUUGCGCCCCCUGGUAUUCCGGGGGGCAUGCCUGUCCGAGCGUCAUUACUGCCCAUCAAGCCCGGCUUGUGUGUUGGGUCGACGUCCCCUCCCUCGCGGGGGGACGGACCCGAAAGGCAGUGGCGGUGCCGCGCCGGUGCUUCGAGCGUAUGGGGCUUUGUCACCCGCUCCGGAGGCCUGGCCGGCGCCCGUCGUCCCCACACUAUUUUUCUCGGUGGACCUCGGAUCAGGUAGGGAUACCCGCUGAACUUAA